rnacentral:ncRNA from 1 species
UUAGCUAGGGGUGUCUUUAUGGCUGAGAGAUAUUAUAUCAACCCUCAAACCUGAUCUGGAUAAUACCAGCGUAGGAAAGCACUUAUAUUU